rnacentral:rRNA from 1 species
AUUGAACGCUGGCGGCAGGCCUAACACAUGCAGGUCGAACGGUAGCACAGAGAGCUUGCUCUCGGGUGACGAGUGGCGGACGGGUGAGUAAUGUCUGGGAAACUGCCCGAUGGAGGGGGAUAACUACUGGAAACGGUAGCUAAUACCGCAUAAUGUCGCAAGACCAAAGAGGGGGACUUUCGGGCCUCUUGCCAUCGGAUGUGCCCAGAUGGGAUUAGCUAGUUGGUGAGGUAAUGGCUCACCAAGGCGACGAUCCCUAGCUGGUCUGAGAGGAUGACCAGCCACACUGGAACUGAGACACGGUCCAGACUCCUACGGGAGGCAGCAGUGGGGAAUAUUGCACAAUGGGCGCAAGCCUGAUGCAGCCAUGCCGCGCGUAUGAAGAAGGCCUUCGGGUUGUAAAGUACUUUCAGCGGGGAGGAAGGCAAUGCGGUUAAUAACCGUGUUGAUUGACGUUACCCGAAGAAGAAGCACCGGCUAACUCCGUG